ensembl:processed_transcript Gm5602 predicted gene 5602
GUGCGGGAGCGAGCGGCGCGGAUGGGGCGGACACGGCCCUGGAGGCGCGCCGCUCCGACAGGCGUCGCCACCGGGAUCCCCGACAGGGGCCGAGCCGCGGCGACGGCAGCGAGGACACCAGGGGCUGUGGGCCUUGGCGGGGACCCGCAGGGCUGGCGUCGGGCGCAGAGGAACCCGCGCACAGAGUUAAAACAAAACAACAACAACAACAACAACAACAACAACAACAACAAAGCCAGCUCUUUUCUACUGUUUGGUGUAAACGUGAACUAGAGCCAAGAGAGAAUCAGAGCUUUGCCUCUGUAGCUGCAUUGGAGAAGCUGGUUCAUGGCCCUCUGCCACACCCACACUCCUGGCAACCAGCUUGUGAUAGGAAGAAUGGUUCCUGGUAAUUACCCAGGGCUGGUUGGGUUAAGGGACUUGCCAGACUACAAAUGAGGUGGCUGAAGUCUCCUUCAGGAACUAUGGCUUGCUCAGCACAAUCCUGCUCCAGGAAUGAAUGUAAAAGACUGUUGUUCUGGAGGGAUUGGUGCCUGGGCAGGUGCAAGAAAAGUAAGAUUUCCAAGUGGUUCAGCAACCAGCCAGAAUCCCAGGCUGAGAGAGAGAGAGAGAGAGAGAGAGAGAGAGAGAGAGAUCAACUCUAACACCUGGAUAAAUGUGAUUGACAUAAAAUCACCUAGUGCCAUUAAUGUGCCAAAAGAUCACUCUAUGAUCUCUGGGCUUUAGGAGCUUCUAAGCACAUGAGACACCUGCUUAUAUCCUAGUCAACCCUCUGAGCACACACAGCAGAUCUGGGAUGCAGACAAGCCCUAAAACCGAGGCCCUUAGACUGCUCUGUGUCACCCAAGCAUGUGGCCUCUUGCUCCAGUUUGUCAUCCAGACUUGAAAAGCAAGGUUUUCUGAGCUCAAGAUUACCAUAAGGGUAUGGCUAAGUUGCUCCUUGUUAUAUUGAGGUAAGGAGCAUUCUUGAAGGUGAAGGCUCUUUUCAGAGGAAACUGGGAAAGAUUCCAUCCUGGCAUCACAAGCGUAAGGUCUUCGGCUGGUGGGAAAUCCUUCUCAGAUCACUGCCACUCACCUGUCUGCUUCAGCCAAGCUCCAGCUGCAGUCAACGGUUGCUAGCUCUCCCCAUCCAUCUUCCCAUUCGCCAGAAGAGAUUAUUAGCACUCAGCAACAAAAGCUAAAGCCUCAAGUGUCCCAGAGGGUUGUGUCCUGUGUGUCCUGUGUGACCUGUGAUCUGCUCCCUAAUAACGAGAACAUGAAAACGUCGGUUUUUCACAACGAUCCCAUGACUGCCUUGUCCCACCCCAGGAUAGGACCUCAAGGAAUUUGGGUUCUACAGUCCAUCUGACUAGCUGGGUGAUCUCAGCCCAUUACCUGACUUCUCUGGAUGUUAACAUUGUUUCUUUGCAAAUGGGGGUGGGGUGGGGUUUGAUAGGGCUUUAUGGUUUCCUAGGGAGUCUUAAAUUUAAUAACACUUGUAAAAAGUCUGGCCCGCAGACUGGCCUCAUCACUAUGAGCUGUUAAGUGGUUUAUCCCAGUUUCUUGGGCUGCUACAGACUACACGUAUCAAGGAGACUGGCAUGGUACUGACAUCUUGGGCUUUGGGGAGUUUAGUAUGGCUUGGGAUCAGGGCCAGGUAGAUCGGGUGCUGGGGGAAGUCGAAGGAUUCCAGAUGUGUCUAAUGUGAAGAUUCUGGUUUGGUUUGUCUUUUGGGGUCCACAAAAAUAAACACAUACCUAAGC